GCGGGGUUUUCUGUUUGUCUUUUUCAUUUUUAGCCAUGGCGUUGUCAGUUUGUUUUAGAUUUACGAGUUUGACUGUCCCUCUUUUAAUGUGAUUAUGAUAUUUGUGUAUAUAACAGAGUCUUAUGAAAACAUGCCACUUUGAUAAUUAGAUUUAUUGCAUGAUAUCAAAUUUGAAUGAAAUUGAUAUUUGACCAAGAUGGUAUACGGUUAGUUCACAAAUUUU
rnacentral:lncRNA from 1 species